AGUGAACGCUGACGGUAGGCCUAACACAUGCAAGUCGAACGGCAGCACAGUAAGAGCUUGCUCUUACGGGUGGCGAGUGGCGGACGGGUGAGGAAUACAUCGGAAUCUACUUUUUCGUGGGGGAUAACGUAGGGAAACUUACGCUAAUACCGCAUACGACCUACGGGUGAAAGCAGGGGAUCUUCGGACCUUGCGCGAUUGAAUGAGCCGAUGUCGGAUUAGCUAGUUGGCGGGGUAAAGGCCCACCAAGGCGACGACCCGUAGCUGGUCUGAGAGGAUGAUCAGCCACACUGGAACUGAGACACGGUCCAGACUCCUACGGGAGGCAGCAGUGGGGAAUAUUGGACAAUGGGCGCAAGCCUGAUCCAGCCAUACCGCGUGGGUGAAGAAGGCCUUCGGGUUGUAAAGCCCUUUUGUUGGGAAAGAAAAGCAGCAGGUUAAUACCCCGCUGUUCUGACGGUACCCAAAGAAUAAGCACCGGCUAACUUCGUG
rnacentral:rRNA from 1 species